CCUACGGGCGGCAGCAGUGAGGAAUAUUGGUCAAUGGACGAGAGUCUGAACCAGCCAAGUAGCGUGAAGGAUGACUGCCCUAUGGGUUGUAAACUUCUUUUAUAUGGGAAUAAAAUGUUCCACGUGUGGGAUUUUGUAUGUACCAUAUGAAUAAGGAUCGGCUAACUCCGUGCCAGCAGCCGCGGUAAUACGGAGGAUCCGAGGGUUAUCCGGAUUUAUUGGGUUUAAAGGGAGCGUAGGUGGAUUGUUAAGUCAGUUGUGAAAGUUUGCGGCUCAACCGUAAAAUUGCAGUUGAAACUGGCAGUCUUGAGUACAGUAGAGGUGGGCGGAAUUCGUGGUGUAGCGGUGAAAUGCUUAGAUAUCACGAAGAACUCCGAUUGCGAAGGCAGUUCACUGGACUGCAACUGACACUGAGGCUCGAAAGUGUGGGUAUCAAACAGGAUUAGAUACCCUAGUAGUC
rnacentral:rRNA from 1 species